rnacentral:lncRNA from 1 species
AAAGCGGAACUUAUAUACAUUGCCAACCCAAAAGAGUAUAUAAACAUCAAAUAUACAAGGGUUCUCAAUCCUUCAUACGUCCAGCCCGUGCCAAGCACUAGGCGAGAACCACUACAAAAGAAACAAAAGAAACAAAACUAGAUUGGCUAGUCUAUCUCAAGCUCACGUCCUCGCUCGCCUUCCCCUGUAAGGAAAACAAAACUAAAGGGAUGAGCUAAAAGCCCAGUGAGGUUCCGAACACAUAAUCAGAUAAUCAAUCCAAUACAUUAAACAUGGAGUAUCAAUAAUUCAAGAAACAUUUACAAUGGAAAGCGAUAGUAACACAUUCAUUAAAAGGAUACGGCUCACAAGGAGCAAUUUGUUAUUUCGUUCAUUCGUUCUCCUGACAUUUUCCCUUAUUCCUCCAAUCAUUUGGAACUGCAUUUUUGGUUUAUCAAUAACCCUCGUUCGAUCGUUCGUUCAUUCAUUCAUUCAUUCACCCCCGUCCUGGCCGUUGGCCAGUCUCCAUCAACCUACAGGGUAAUACUCGAGUAUACCAAACGUUCACCCAAGUCCCUAAUCGCCCGACCGAGUCCGCUUCUGGCUCGAGACGACCGGUAACAAGGGGCAAUGGCCAGUUCAGCCCAAAAGGCUUACAUUCAUGCGCAAGUAACAUUUCAAUCAUUAAAUCCUUGAAAAUUGC